CCUACGUGAGGCAGCAGUGGGGAAUAUUGCACAAUGUGCGAAAGCCUGAUGCAGCAACGCCGCGUGAAGGAAGAAGGGUUUCGGCUCGUACACUUCUAUCAACAGGGACGAAAGAAAUGACGGUACCUGAAUAAGAAGCUCAGGCUAACUACGUGCAAGCAGCCGCGGUACUACGUCGGGGGCAAGCGUUAUCCGGAAUUAAUGGGGGUAAAGGGUGAGUAGGGGGCAGGGUAAACUAGAUGUUAAAGCCUUGGGCUUAAACCGUGGAUUGCAUUUGGGACUAUCAAGCUAGAGUACAGGAGAGGAAAGCGGAAUUCCUAGUGUAGCGGUGAAAUGCGUAGAUAUUAGGAAGAACACCAGUGGCGAAGGCGGCUUUCUGGACUGAAACUGACGCUGAGGCACGAAAGCGUGGGGAGCGAACAGGAUUAGAUACCCCGGUAGUC
rnacentral:rRNA from 1 species